rnacentral:rRNA from 1 species
AGCUCCAAUAGCGUAUAUUAAAUUCGGAUUUCGGAGUGGGCCAGUUGGUCCGCCGCAAGGUGUGUUACUGACUGGUCUGCUCUUCUUCGCAAAGACUGCGUGUGCUCUUGAGUGAGUGUGCGUAGGAUUUACGACGUUUACUUUGAAAAAGUUAGAGUGUUCAAAGCAGGCUAUUGCUUGAAUACAUGAGCAUGGAAUAAUGGAAUAGGACUUUGGUCCCAUUUUGUUGGUUUCUAGGACCGAAGUAAUGAUUAGGAGGGACAAUUGGGGGCAUCCGUAUUUCGUUGUCAGAGGUGAAAUUCUUGGAUUUACGAAAGACGAACAACUGCGAAAGCACUUGCCAAGAGUGUUUUCA